rnacentral:rRNA from 1 species
CAGCCGCCGCGGUAAUACCGGCGGCCCGAGUGGCGGCCACUAUUAUUGGGCUUAAAGCGUCCGUAGCCGGGUUGGUUAGUCUCCCGGGAAAUCUGGCCGCUUAACGGUCAGAAUUCCGGGAGAUACUGCCAGCCUAGGGACCGGGAGAGGCCGAGGGUAUUCCCGGAGUAGGGGUGAAAUCCUAUAAUCCCGGGAGGACCACCUGUGGCGAAGGCGCUCGGCUGGAACGGGUCCGACGGUGAGGGACGAAGGCCAGGGGAGCAAACCGGAUUAGAUGCCCGGGUAGUCCUGGCUGUAAACGAUGCGGGCUAGCUGUUGGGUGGGCUUAGAGCCCACCCAGUGGCGCAGGGAAGCCGUUAAGCCCGCCGCCUGGGGAGUACGGCCGCAAGGCUGAAACUUAAAGGAAUUGGCGGG